UACGAAGGGGGCUAGCGUUGUUCGGAAUCACUGGGCGUAAAGCGCACGUAGGCGGAUCUUUAAGGCAGGGGUGAAAUCCCGAGGCUCAACCUCGGAACUGCCUUUGAUACUGGGGAUCUCGAGUCCGGGAGAGGUGAGUGGAACUGCGAGUGUAGAGGUGAAAUUCGUAGAUAUUCGCAAGAACACCAGUGGCGAAGGCGGCUCACUGGCCCGGAACUGACGCUGAGGUGCGAAAGCGUGGGGAGCAAACAGG
rnacentral:rRNA from 1 species